GGCACGCACGAAGACGCCACGCUGUUGCUGCUACUCCUCACCUCGCCCUUAGAUCGGAAUUGAAGUCGUUGCGGAGGGAUGGAGGCACGCAUGCAUCGUGACCUAGGCAGACGAGCCACCAGGAGGGGAUCCGUGCCGGAUGGCUGCUGACGCGCGCGCCUCUCCCUUGAUCCCCUUUCAUCUCGAUGGCGGGACAGCAAGGCACGGCGGUGGCCGGUGGUGGACGAGACAUUCAGCCUUUUCAGCUAUGCAGUCGACCAUCAAGUAUUGACUGUCAUAACUUCAGGUUACUUUGAUAAACUGAUUUCUGCACAAUGGUACUGAUGUGCAGUGUACUCGACGUAGAGUGGUGUUUUCAUAUUGCUGGCAUAGGAGUACUAUCAAUGCGAGCUUCAGUUACAAUGGCAACAUAUGACCGAAUGUCCAUGUAUCGAAAUGUAUGUUAUAGCUGAUAUUAAGAGCAACUGUCCAAUAUUAUUUGUUGUAUAUUCUGAUCUAUGAUCAAAAUUUGUAUUGUGGGCAACAACACGACAACGCUACUGGUUGGGCUGAAGGAACUGGCAAAGUUGUUUAAUGGUGAUAUCAUUGUGGAGUUGGACUGCUUGUCGCUGGUGCAGGCACUUGAACCUCAAACGGUUAACAAGUCCAGGCUGUUCUCUGUUACUUGUGACAUCAAGGAGGCUUUGAAGCACUUCAAAUCCCACCAGAUUAAUUGGGUCUGUAGGGACCAAAGCAAGUUUGCUCACUGUCUUGCCGAUUGGGCCAGUAGAUAAGGUGUUCAGAGAGCUUUUCCAAGCUGAAUGUAAUCCGGGUGUAUGAUCAUUGUUCUCAAAUAUUAUUUUGUGUUAUGGGCAGAUGGAA